rnacentral:rRNA from 1 species
CGAUAACGGCGUCGAGCGGCGGACGGGUGAGUAAUGCCUAGGAAAUUGCCCUGAUGUGGGGGAUAACCAUUGGAAACGAUGGCUAAUACCGCAUAAUGCCUACGGGCCAAAGAGGGGGACCUUCGGGCCUCUCGCGUCAGGAUAUGCCUAGGUGGGAUUAGCUAGUUGGUGAGGUAAUGGCUCACCAAGGCGACGAUCCCUAGCUGGUCUGAGAGGAUGAUCAGCCACACUGGAACUGAGACACGGUCCAGACUCCUACGGGAGGCAGCAGUGGGGAAUAUUGCACAAUGGGCGCAAGCCUGAUGCAGCCAUGCCGCGUGUGUGAAGAAGGCCUUCGGGUUGUAAAGCACUUUCAGUCGUGAGGAAGGUAGUGUAGUUAAUAGCUGCAUUAUUUGACGUUAGCGACAGAAGAAGCACCGGCUAACUCCGUGCCAGCAGCCGCGGUAAUACGGAGGGUGCGAGCGUUAAUCGGAAUUACUGGGCGUAAAGCGCAUGCAGGUGGUUUGUUAAGUCAGAUGUGAAAGCCCGGGGCUCAACCUCGGAAUUGCAUUUGAAACUGGCAGACUAGAGUACUGUAGAGGGGGGUAGAAUUUCAGGUGUAGCGGUGAAAUGCGUAGAGAUCUGAAGGAAUACCGGUGGCGAAGGCGGCCCCCUGGACAGAUACUGACACUCAGAUGCGAAAGCGUGGGGAGCAAACAGGAUUAGAUACCCUGGUAGUCCACGCCGUAAACGAUGUCUACUUGGAGGUUGUGGCCUUGAGCCGUGGCUUUCGGAGCUAACGCGUUAAGUAGACCGCCUGGGGAGUACGGUCGCAAGAUUAAAACUCAAAUGAAUUGACGGGGGCCCGCACAAGCGGUGGAGCAUGUGGUUUAAUUCGAUGCAACGCGAAGAACCUUACCUACUCUUGACAUCCAGAGAACUUUUCAGAGAUGGAUUGGUGCCUUCGGGAAC